rnacentral:rRNA from 1 species
UACGAAGGGUGCGAGCGUUGUUCGGAAUUACUGGGCGUAAAGGGUUCGUAGGCGGGAAUGUAAGUUGAAUGUGAAAACCCCGGGCUUAACCUGGGACGUGCAUCCAAAACUGCGUUUCUUGAGUGUCUGAGAGGGUCGUGGAAUUGCUGGUGUAGGAGUGACAUCCGUAGAGAUCAGCAGGAACACCGGAGGCGAAAGCGACGACCUGGCAGAACACUGACGCUGAGGAACGAAAGCGUGGGGAGCAAACAGG